rnacentral:tRNA from 1 species
GAGGUCUUAUCUUAGUUAAAGUAUCUGGGUUGCAUUCAGGUGAUGGAGGGAAAAGUCCUGCAGGUCUUA